GAAAGACAAAGGAAAACCAAUCAGAAAAUUAGUUGAAAAGACAGCCCACAUAAGAUCUUUUUCAUCCUUUGUCUCGUCUUUAUUCCGCUUGCCCUCUCUUAUUUCUUCCUGGAAACUGUCAAUCUUCGUUUUGACCAAAAAAAC
rnacentral:ribozyme from 1 species